GUUGCUGGAGACUGUGAGGCUCCUGAAGUCAAAGGGCUGGCUGAAAUGAAACCAAGACUUCAGUCUGUUGCUGAAGAGCUUUCCAGAUGUUCCCACAGCAUUUCUGAACACCAAGCAAUUGUAUGGUGUCUUAUAUCUGAGGUGGAAAGGAGAAGGAGUCACAUCAAAGAUGACAGGAGCAUCCAGAAGAUGGAGGCAUGCCUUGACAAGAUGCAGCUCAUCUACAGCCAGUUUAAGAAGGUCCGGAAGUGUCC